GACCAGAUAGCUCAGUUGGUUAGAGCAUCGUCCCGAUAUGCCAAGGUUGCGGGUUUGAUCCCCACUCAGGGCA
rnacentral:tRNA from 1 species